rnacentral:rRNA from 1 species
ACGAUAACGGCGUCGAGCGGCGGACGGGUGAGUAAUGCCUAGGAAAUUGCCCUGAUGUGGGGGAUAACCAUUGGAAACGAUGGCUAAUACCGCAUGAUGCCUACGGGCCAAAGAGGGGGACCUUCGGGCCUCUCGCGUCAGGAUAUGCCUAGGUGGGAUUAGCUAGUUGGUGAGGUAAGGGCUCACCAAGGCGACGAUCCCUAGCUGGUCUGAGAGGAUGAUCAGCCACACUGGAACUGAGACACGGUCCAGACUCCUACGGGAGGCAGCAGUGGGGAAUAUUGCACAAUGGGCGCAAGCCUGAUGCAGCCAUGCCGCGUGUGUGAAGAAGGCCUUCGGGUUGUAAAGCACUUUCAGUCGUGAGGAAGGUGGUAGUGUUAAUAGCACUAUCAUUUGACGUUAGCGACAGAAGAAGCACCGGCUAACUCCGUGCCAGCAGCCGCGGUAAUACG